rnacentral:lncRNA from 1 species
GGAAAAAUACAUAAAUUCACAAUUCAUUUGGAGAUUUAAUGCAAUCCUUUGGGGCAUUAGUAGAUCAAAUAUCAUUAAUUGAGUAAUUUAGGCUCAACCUACAGUGCACAUUUUUUUUGUUGUUGUUUGAGACAGAGUCUCGCUCUGUCGCCCAGGCUGGAGUGCAGUGGCACGAUCUUGGAGUGCAUGUAUUUUUUGAUAAGGAAUAUUUAAUAUCCAAAUUCAUUUCUGAACUACUCCACAAGAAAGUCUGAAAAUAUAUUCCAUAGACGAAUCAUCAUAUGCACUAUGCUCUUCAAGAAUAAGGCAAUGAAACAGCUAUGCCAGAGAGACCAUGACCUUAUAAUUUACAGCAUAGUGUUGAGGAGAUCUUUAAAAAAAUGAUAAAAAGAAAGAGAUGGAUAAAGACAUACAGAUACCCAAAGGAUGCAGAGAGAAAAAGAUGGAACAAGAAUAUAUGUGAAAGACUACAAACAAUGGCAAGCACAGAAGAGCAAAAGAAAGAAAGAAAGGGUAACAGAGAAAGCAAUAGAGGAAGAAUAUGAAGCCAUGUUAAUCUGAAUGUGGGCUCUUUUAUACCAAGAAUCUACUCCAAGGCUGAAUAUUAGCUCACUUUUAAGAAUCAAAGUUGUGGAUUUCAUAGACCCUGAACUUCUGAGAGCACCCAGCCAAGAGUAUCAAAGCCAAUCUGCAACUGAGUCACAGCUGACCCCGAGGUAUGAUUAAGCUAAGCUGACACCAGUUCAGAUCAGCAUAAUGACCCACAUCUGAUGAGCAAAAAGAAAUGUUUAUUAAUGUACAAAACUGAGAUUUG